GGGGGGAGGCCGGAUCCUUGGCUGUGUCCCCGGCGCCCUGGGCUCCCGGGCCUGCGCUGUUGGAAUCGCGCUCCGGGCCGCGCAGCCCGCU
rnacentral:pre_miRNA from 1 species